rnacentral:rRNA from 1 species
UACAUGUGGGGCAAGCGUUGUUCGGAAUUACUGGGCAUAAAGGGUGCGUAGGCGGCUUGUUAAGUCAGGGGUGAAAGUUUUCGGCCCAACCGGAAAAUUGCCUUUGAUACUGGCGAGCUGGAGUGCGUGAGGGGUGACCGGAACGAGUGGUGUAGCGGUGAAAUGCGUAGAUAUCACUCGGAAGGCCAACGGCGAAGGCAGGUCACUGGUGCGCAACUGACGCUGAGGCACGAAAGCGUGGGGAGCGAACAGG